UAUAUUUGUUAUAUGUAAAUAUCAGUCCUAUCUUAAUGGGUAGAGAUCUCCUAUAGAGAGAUACUGCAGUCAAUAUAAACAGUUUACAGAGUGGCUAAUAAACACUGAUAUGAAGGGAAAGGGUGCGCUCUAGUACAAAACUUAUUUAGAUUUAACUCCAUUAAUUUAAAAAAUUGACACUAAACACUAAAUUCUGUGCUGAAAGGAAAAGGUGAUUCAACUCCAUUUUGUGCCUAAAGGUUUUAAUUUGUAACUGAUUUCCCAUAGUAAUAGUAUAAUUUUUUUUUCUUACAAGCAAAGAGCCGGUGAACAAUAUAAAUAUCAUGUUGAUAUUUAUUAGUCUAAUUAGUUGCCUUUCCAAAAUCCAUUUAAUAUUCAAUAUUAAAAAAAAUCCGUGAUCCCCAAAGAAAGAAUUACCAUCACCUACCGUGAAAUUAAGCAGAGCUUACAAAAUUAUAUAGUUUUUGUAUUUUAUGUUUUAAUAUGCAUAAUGAGUAUUAGGUAUUAGACAGAUUUGCAUGUAAGUGGCUUUUAGAGCCCACAUCUUGUAACUUAAGAAACAAACAUGGUAGUUUUCGUGGAGGACAUCUAAACCUAUUGUAGUCGUGUCUCAUCGUGAUGAAGUACUUGGGGUCGUGAAUCUCUUCAUGUGCCCCACUGUCUACACCCAAGAUGAAUGCAUGCCAUUUGACUAGAGUGUAUUAUUUGGUGUUCUCCACAGGCCUGAAUGGAAAGUCAUUUUGACCUGCUCCACAUUUUUACUUAAGAACUGCUUUUAACAAUAAGCCACUGGUGUACUUGUUUCUGGACUGACUUGAGUUUUUGGCACAAUAUGAAAAGCAUUUGGAAAGUAGUAUGUAUAUCAUGGCAAACAAGUGAAAUAGAAUGAUAAAUGAUUAUACAAAUCUUGGACGACAAAUAGAAGCGAAUAGAGACAAAGGAUCAUCGUCUCUGACCAGAAGUCCCAUGUGGGCUGUUUGUUUCUUGGGACUCGGCUACGUCCGGAGAGAGGUUGCGCUUUCUUCGGAGGACUGGGAACCGCAGCCCAAGCACAGAGCUCUGUGGCUGUGACCGUCCGGAGGACACCAUUGAGGAGUCAGCUUUCUUCCGUCGCUUCCUGCGUGUGCCCCGACUACCGGGACCUGACGUGGAACUUCAAAAGCAAGGCA